GAAUAGAUACCCCGGGUAGUCCACGCCCUAAACGAUGCGAACUGGAUGUUGGGUACAUUACGGUACUCAGUGUCGAAGCUAACGCGUUAAGUUCGCCGCCUGGGGAGUACGGUCGCAAGACUGAAACUCAAAGGAAUUGACGGGGGCCCGCACAAGCGGUGGAGUAUGUGGUUUAAUUCGAUGCAACGCGAAGAACCUUACCUGGCCUUGACAUCUGUCGAAUCCUGCAGAGAUGCGGGAGUGCCGCAAGGAACGACAAGACAGGUGCUGCAUGGCUGUCGUCAGCUCGUGUCGUGAGAUGUUGGGUUAAGUCCCGCAACGAGCGCAACCCUUGUCCCUAGUUGCCAGCACGUAAUGGUGGGAACUCUAGGGAGACUGCCGGUGACAAACCGGAGGAAGGUGGGGAUGACGUCAAGUCCUCAUGGCCCUUACGGCCAGGGCUACACACGUACUACAAUGGUCGGUACAGAGGGUUGCGAAGCCGCGAGGUGGAGCCAAUCCCGAGAAAACCGAUCCCAGUCCGGAUCGGAGUCUGCAACUCGUACCG
rnacentral:rRNA from 1 species